GUGCCCCCUUCAGCAGCACAUAUACUAAAACUGGAACGAUACAGAGAAGAUGAGCAUGGCCCGUGCGUAAGAAUGACACGCAAAUUCGUGAAGCGCUCCACAUUCAG